rnacentral:rRNA from 1 species
AGGAUGAACGCUGGCGGCGUGCCUAAUACAUGCAAGUCGAGCGCCCCCUUGCGGGGAGCGGCGGACGGCUGAGUAACACGUAGGAACGUACCCCAAAGUGAGGCAUAAGCACCAGAAAUGGUGUCUAAUGCCGCAUGUGCUCUUCGGAGUAAAGCUACGGCGCUUUGGGAACGGCCUGCGCAUGAUUAGCUAGUUGGUGAGGUAAUAGCUCACCAAGGCGACGAUCAUUAGCUGGUCUGAGAGGAUGACCAGCCAGACUGGGACUGAGAACGGCCCAGACUCCUACGGGAGGCAGCAGUAGGGAAUCUUCCACAAUGGGCGAAAGCCUGAUGGAGCAACGCCGCGUGCAGGAUGAAGGCCUUCGGGUCGUAAACUGCUUUUAUCUGUGACGAAUAUGACGGUAGCAGAUGAAUAAGGAUCGGCUAACUCCGUGCCAGCAGCCGC